rnacentral:rRNA from 1 species
UACAGAGGGUGCAAACGUUGUUCGGAAUUACUGGGCGUAAAGCGUGUGUAGGCGGCUUUGUAAGUCGGGCGUGAAAGCCCCGGGCUCAACCCGGGAAGUGCACUCGAUACUGCAGAACUUGAGUUUCGGAGAGGUUGGUAGAAUUCUUGGUGUAGAGGUGAAAUUCGUAGAUAUUGGGAAGAACACCGGUGGCGAAGGCGGCGACCUGGUCCUUGACUGACGCUGAGGCGCGAAAGCGUGGGGAGCAAACAGG